rnacentral:rRNA from 1 species
UACGUAGGGUGCAAGCGUUGUCCGGAAUUAUUGGGCGUAAAGAGCUCGUAGGCGGUUCGUCACGUCGGCUGUGAAAACCUGAGGCUCAACCUCAGGCCUGCAGUCGAUACGGGCGGACUCGAGUUCGGCAGGGGAGACUGGAAUUCCUGGUGUAGCGGUGAAAUGCGCAGAUAUCAGGAGGAACACCGGUGGCGAAGGCGGGUCUCUGGGCCGAUACUGACGCUGGGGAGCGAAAGCGUGGGGAGCGAACAGG